rnacentral:rRNA from 1 species
CAACCAGCACCUCAAGUGGUCAGGAUGAUUAUUGGGCCUAAAGCAUCCGUAGCCUGCUCUGUAAGUUUUCGGUUAAAUCUGUACGCUCAACGUACAGGCUGCCGGGAAUACUGCAGAGCUAGGGAGUGGGAGAGGUAGACGGUACUCGGGAGGAAGUGGUAAAAUGCUUUGAUCUCUCGAUGACCACCUGUGGCGAAGGCGGUCUACCAGAACACGUCCGACGGUGAGGGAUGAAAGCUGGGGGAGCAAACCGGAUUAGAAACCCCGGUAGUCC